RRNACCGGUUGAUUCUGCCAGAGGCUACUGCUAUUGGGGUUCGAUUAAGCCAUGCAAGUCGAACGAACUCCUUCGGGGGUUCGUGGCGAACGGCUCAGUAACACGUGGAUAACCUACCCUUAGGACCGGUAUAACCCUGGGAAACUGGGGAUAAUCCCGGAUAGAUGAUUCUUUCUGUAAUGAUGUUUCAUUUAAAUGCUCCGGCGCCUAAGGAUGGGUCUGCGGCCGAUUAGGUUGUUGGUAGGGUAAUGGCUUACCAAGCCGGUGAUCGGUACGGGUUGUGAGAGCAAGAGCCCGGAGAUGGAACCUGAGACAAGGUUCCAGGCCCUACGGGGCGCAGCAGGCUCGAAACCUCCGCAAUGCGAGCAAUCGCGACGGGGGGACCCCAAGUGCCGCUCUUAACGGGGUGGCUUUUCUUAAGUGUAAAAAGCUUUUGGAAUAAGGGCUGGGCAAGACCGGUGCCAGCCGCCGCGGUAACACCGGCAGCUCUAGUGGUAGCCAUUUUUAUUGGGCCUAAAGCGUUCGUAGCCGGUUUGAUAAGUCUCUGGUGAAAUCCUAUAGCUUAACUGUGGGACUUGCUGGAGAUACUAUUAGACUUGAGGUCGGGAGAGGUUAGCGGUACUCCCAGGGUAGGGGUGAAAUCCUGUAAUCCUGGGAGGACCACCUGUGGCGAAGGCGGCUAACUGGAACGAACCUGACGG
rnacentral:rRNA from 1 species